AUUGCUUCUUUGCCUUUGGCUAAGAUCAAGUGUGGUGUCUUAUGUUUAUCAGUUUAUCCUCUACCCGAGGACAAUAUAUUAAAUGGAUUUGUGGAACAGGGAGAUAGAAUAGGAGUUUGCUCUGUCUACUCCACACAUCAACCUAGUAUUGUAGUACAUCUAGGAAUGGUGCACCCUUU
rnacentral:snRNA from 1 species